UGGAGAGUUUGAUCCUGGCUCAGGACGAACGCUGGCGGCGUGCUUAACACAUGCAAGUCGAACGGAAAGUCCCUUUCGGGGGUACUCGAGUGGCGAACGGGUGAGUAACACGUGGGUGAUCUGCCCUGCACUUUGGGAUAAGCCUGGGAAACUGGGUCUAAUACCGAAUAUUUCCUUUUGGUCGCAUGGCUGGGAGGGGAAAGCUUUUGCGGUGUGGGAUGGGCCCGCGGCCUAUCAGCUUGUUGGCGAGGCUAUGGCUUACCAAGGCGACGACGGGUAGCCGGCCUGAGAGGGUGACCGGCCACACUGGGACUGAGAUACGGCCCAGACUCCUACGGGAGGCAGCAGUGGGGAAUAUUGCACAAUGGGCGCAAGCCUGAUGCAGCGACGCCGCGUGGGGAUGACGGCCUUCGGGUUGUAAACCUCUUUCAAUAGGGACGAAGCGCAAGUGACGGUACCUAUAGAAGAAGGACCGGCCAACUACGUGCCAGCAGCCGC
rnacentral:rRNA from 1 species